AAUAUAAGAUUUAACCUGCCCGCUGAAUAAUUGAAUGGCCGCGGUAUUUUGACCGUGCAAAGGUAGCAUAAUAAUUAGUUUUUUGAUUGAAAGCUGGAAUGAAUGGUUGGACGAGAAAAUAACUGUCUCUGAUUAAAUUUUUAAUAAAACUUUAUUUUUAAGUUAAAAAGCUUAAAUUUUGUUAAAAGACGAGAAGACCCUAUAGAGUUUGAUAUUUUUUUAUUGGUAUAAUUUUAGGAAUUGAAUUUUUGCUUUUAUGGAAAUAUUUCAUUGGGGUGAUGAAAAGAUUUAUUAAACUCUUUUUUUAUUAAAACAUUUAUAUUUGAUUAUUUGAUCCAUUUUUUAUGAUUAUAAGAAUAAAUUACCUUAGGGAUAACAGCGUAAUCUUUUUAGAGAGUUCUUAUCGAAAUAAGGGAUUGCGACCUCGAUGUUGGAUUAAAGUUAAUUUUUGGUGUAGAAGCUAAAAAAUUGAGUCUGUUCGACUUUUAAAACUUUACAUGAUCUGAGUUUAAACCGGUGUGAGCCAGGUUGGUUUCUAUCUUUAUUUAGUUAAAAUAUUUUAGUACGAAAGGACCAA
rnacentral:rRNA from 1 species